rnacentral:misc_RNA from 1 species
GGGGUCCUCUUUGCCGAUCCUCGACAUGUGAUAAGAUGUUUCCAUGUCUUGGCUUCUGGCUCUGUUGCUUUUGGGACCCGCUUCUAACCGUCUCAACCUUGCAUCGAGACAAUGUUUGAGCACGUCUCCCUUCUCGGGAAACGCUCUCAACCCCACGAACCCUUGACCUCAAAUCGGGUGAGACUACCCGCUGAACUUAA